GCGCUGACGAGUGGCGGACGGGUGAGUAAUGCCUGGGAAUUUGCCCAUUUGUGGGGGAUAACAGUUGGAAACGACUGCUAAUACCGCAUACGCCCUACGGGGGAAAGCAGGGGACCUUCGGGCCUUGCGCUGAUGGAUAAGCCCAGGUGGGAUUAGCUAGUAGGUGAGGUAAAGGCUCACCUAGGCGACGAUCCCUAGCUGGUCUGAGAGGAUGAUCAGCCACACUGGGACUGAGACACGGCCCAGACUCC
rnacentral:rRNA from 1 species